rnacentral:misc_RNA from 1 species
GGAACAUCAAGAGAUUCAUAGAGGAACGAUCGAUCAAGGUAAAAGUAGUACAAGUGCGGAAAUUCCAAUUUAAAAAUCGUUGGCUCGAUGGCUACGUUGUUUUCUGGUAGCAUAAGUUACUGUAGGCAGUAAAGAAAGGAACAUGAAAAGAGAGAACAUGGAGAUUACUGAAACAGAAUUUUUGUUUCGAUUUUUCCCAUGGUGACCUCAAGUCUUCCGAGGGGGGUUUUUGUCUUUGAACUCUUUCUCCAGGUCCAUGAGCACACACAUUGGCUUACUGCAUCAUGGCACGCGGAAGUCGGGGCCUCACUGGUGUUUUUGAGGGACUCACCCUGAUGCGCUGGGAUCCCAAUACCUCACCGCAACAGUCUAAAGCCAAAAUUGCACUCUCAGCCAUUACAAACUCAACAAAAGCAAUGCGGGUCGAGUGCACGUGAUCUCCCAAAAGCCUCAGGCGAGAAACCUCGCCACAUCUGGUUUCAAAAAAAUUCUUGACAUCAGCCUGAGUAACCUUCUUAUCAAUAUUUGUACAAUAGACAGUCCUGGCACACAUUUCACGCUCAUCCUCUGACCUUGGAAGGAAUGUAGGAUUCACGGGUAGAAUAGCAGUUUUUGAAGGUAGGACCUUCAAUUGAGAGAAACCUAAAAUUGUCCCACAAAGGCAAAGUGCUGCUCUUGCAGAGUACUCAUCAGCAAACUCCACGAAAGCAAAACGAAGACGAGAAUGUGGAUCACCACAAAUUCGGCAGUCAACAACUUGUCCAUAAGCACUAAACAAAGCAGCAAGUUGCUCCUCAGUGACAUUGCUAUCUAUCUCAGAAACAUAUACUGUUCGCCUGAUGCUAUCUUCUCUUUGAGCCUUAUAAGCUCUAUUGUUCAUCCUCCUUUUCCCCUGGUUAAAGUUGCUGCCUCUCCUUCUGUUGUUUUGAAAACCAUCACCCCCCGUAGUCUUGUUAGCUGGUACAAAGUUACUGAGAAUCAUCUGAUCACCAGCACCAACAGUACCACGAUUAUAAGAAGAAGGAAAAAACUCCUUAGCCUGUGGAUUCAGCUUAAGUUUCUUCAACAUAUCAGCAAUAUCAUGCAUAUGAAACUCCGAUUUCGCAUUUGCGAUUGAAUCGGAUGAAUCCUUAACACCAUUAGAUUCAGAAUUAUUGCUGGUGUUAUCAGUGUUUGGUGAUGAUAAAGACUGAACAGCAGGAGCUUCAACCACUGUUGUCUCACCAGACACUUCUUUAGCACCAGCAGCCAUUGAUGAAAAUACUCAAAACCCACAAAAAAAUAAAAACACACCCAGAACAGAAAAAGCUUCAGAAAUACCAAGAAAACACUAAAAUUCUACAAUUUCAAUAAAUUAAAGCAACCCCUUUUCACCAAUUUGAUUAUUCUUUAUGAAAAAUCAAUCAAAUGAGGAAUUCACAGAGCAUAAUGGGUUUAUU